rnacentral:rRNA from 1 species
GGCUUAAUUCGACGAUGAGUCACUUCGGUGGUGGAUUAGUGGCGAACGGGUGAGUAACACGUGGGCAAUCUGCCCUUCACUCUGGGACAAGCCCUGGAAACGGGGUCUAAUACCGGAUAACACUCUGUCCCGCAUGGGACGGGGUUGAAAGCUCCGGCGGUGAAGGAUGAGCCCGCGGCCUAUCAGCUUGUUGGUGGGGUAAUGGCCUACCAAGGCGACGACGGGUAGCCGGCCUGAGAGGGCGACCGGCCACACUGGGACUGAGACACGGCCCAGACUCCUACGGGAGGCAGCAGUGGGGAAUAUUGCACAAUGGGCGAAAGCCUGAUGCAGCGACGCCGCGUGAGGGAUGACGGCCUUCGGGUUGUAAACCUCUUUCAGCAGGGAAGAAGCGAAAGUGACGGUACCUGCAGAAGAAGCGCCGGCUAACUACGUGCCAGCAGCCGCGGUAAUACGUAGGGCGCAAGCGUUGUCCGGAAUUAUUGGGCGUAAAGAGCUCGUAGGCGGCUUGUCACGUCGGAUGUGAAAGCCCGGGGCUUAACCCCGGGUCUGCAUUCGAUACGGGCUAGCUAGAGUGUGGUAGGGGAGAUCGGAAUUCCUGGUGUAGCGGUGAAAUGCGCAGAUAUCAUGGGGGAACACCAAG